rnacentral:rRNA from 2 species
UCGAACGGUAACAGGAAGCAGCUUGCUGCUUCGCUGACGAGUGGCGGACGGGUGAGUAAUGUCUGGGAAACUGCCUGAUGGAGGGGGAUAACUACUGGAAACGGUGGCUAAUACCGCAUAACGUCGCAAGACCAAAGAGGGGGACCUUCGGGCCUCUUGCCAUCAGAUGUGCCCAGAUGGGAUUAGCUUGUUGGUGAGGUAACGGCUCACCAAGGCGACGAUCCCUAGCUGGUCUGAGAGGAUGACCAGCCACACUGGAACUGAGACACGGUCCAGACUCCUACGGGAGGCAGCAGUGGGGAAUAUUGCACAAUGGGCGCAAGCCUGAUGCAGCCAUGCCGCGUGUAUGAAGAAGGCCUUCGGGUUGUAAAGUACUUUCAGCGGGGAGGAAGGUGUUGUGGUUAAUAACCGCAGCAAUUGACGUUACCCGCAGAAGAAGCACCGGCUAACUCCGUGCCAGCAGCCGCGCUAAUAA